rnacentral:rRNA from 1 species
UACGUAGGGGCGUAGCGUUGUUCGGAUUUACUGGGCGUAAAGGGCGCGUAGGCGGCCACCGCAAGUCGACUGUGAAAUCUCCGGGCUUAACCCGGAAAGGUCAGCCGAUACUGCAGGGCUAGAGUGCAGAAGGGGCAACUGGAAUUCUCGGUGUAGCGGUGAAAUGCGUAGAUAUCGAGAGGAACACCUGCGGCGAAGGCGGGUUGCUGGGCUGACACGUGACGCUGACAGCGCGAAAGCUAGGGGAGCGAACGGG